ACGGAGGUGGCGAGCGUUGUUCGGAAUUACUGGGCGUAAAGGGUGUGUAGGCGGCUUGUCGAGUCCGUUGUGAAAUCCCCCGGGUCAACUGGGGAACUGCAUCGGAAACUGGACGGCUGGAGUGCAGGAGAGGAGAGUGGAAUUUCUGGUGUAGCGGUGAAAUGCGUAGAUAUUAGGAGGAACACCAGUGGCGAAGGCGGCUUUCUGGACUGUAACUGACGCUGAGGCACGAAAGCGAAGGGAGCAAACGG
rnacentral:rRNA from 1 species